rnacentral:lncRNA from 1 species
AUGCUGGCUGUGGCAUCUCAGGCGCAUUCCUGCAGUGGCUGUAGCAUGUCCCAGGCAUGUCCCUAUCCAUGUCCAUGCGUGUCCCCAUGCUGGCUGUGGCGUGUCCAUGCAAUGGCUGUGGCAUGUCCCUAUCCAUGUCCAUGCAUGUCCCCAUGCUGGCUGUGGCGUGUCCAAGGCGUGUCCCCAUCCAUGUCCCCACGGUGGCCAUGGCGUGUCCCUAGCCAUGUCCUUCCAUGGCCCGCCAUGGUGGUGGCCGUGUCCCCAGGAUGCUGGUGGCCGCAGCCCCGUCCUUGCAUGUCCCCCGCGGCAGCGUUGGCGUGUCCCAGUCCAUGUUCUUGCGUGUCCCCCGCAGUAGCGUUGGCGUGUCCUUGGCGUGUCCCCCGUGGUGGCCGUGUCCCCGCAGUAGCCGCAUUCCCAGGGGUCAUGAUGACCCCACGGUGGCCGUGUCCCCAUGUCAGCCAUGUCCUCAUGUCCCCCGGGUCCCCAUGGUCCCCAUGUCCCCAAAUCCCCAUCCCCUGGUCCCCAUGUCCCCAUCUCCCAGCAUUCCCAUG